rnacentral:lncRNA from 1 species
GGGCUGUCCAUCACCACCCCUCCGGCCCCCGCCGGAAAGAGGACCUGGAGGAAAAGACCCCUCAGGCUCCGGCCGCAGCUCCACCCGCAGGGGCCGUGGGAAGCGGGCGCUCCGGGGAGGAUGCCGCGCCCAGUAGGGGUCGACCCGAAGAGGGGGUCCCCUCCGGGGGGGGACCUGCCCGGGGCUGGGCGAGGGUAUGAGUUCCCGGCUCCCCCACAUCCAUCACCCUCAGGCCACGCUGAGCUUCCUGGACGCGGAAGCCUAGGCCCCAGCACCGCUGCACCUGCCGGCCGGGCACCCCACUAACGCGGCAUCCCGAGAAGGGCCGACUUCCAGGACGACGCAGCUGCGUGCACACAGCCCCCCUUGGCCCGGUGCGGCGGCCCGCAGGGGAGAACGAGCUUGCAGGGUGCGGGUGCGGGCCGCUGGGGCCGAUCUGGCGUCGCAGAACCCGGGGUCCACACCGUCCAGGCUGCGGCCGCGACGACCCCCUGCCAGGCGCCGGUCUCCUCCGGGAGGGCUCCAGCCCGCGCCACCUCCAGGCACAGGGCGCCCUCGUAACUCCCAAUGAAAGUCCUGCGGGAAACGGUUCCCGACCUCGCCAGGCUGGGGGCAGAAGCGACGGGAUGACGCGGAUUGUAAUCGGAAGAUGGAGUCUCGCUCUGUCGCCCAGGCUGGAGUGCAAUGGCGCGAUCUCGGCUCACCGCGACCUCUGCCUCCCGGGUUCCAGCGAUUCUCCUGCCUCAGCCUCCCGAGUAGGUGGGAUUACAGGCACCUGCCACCAUGCCCGGCUCAUUUUUGUAUUUUUAGUAGAGUCGGGGUUUCACCAUGUUAGCCAGCCUGGUUUCGAACUCCUGACCUCAAAUGAUCUGCCUGCCUUGGCCUCCGAAAGUGCUGGGAUUACAGGUGUGAGCCACCGCGCCUGGCCUAUCACAAUUCUUGAUUGUUUAAAGUGCAAUUAUUUGGAGAAAAUAAUUUUAAAUGUUCUCUGGGAAUUUAUUGUAGAAAGCAGUUAGACUUUUACCAGUGGUCACAACUUCACUGAUGAGAAUGAUAACCCAUUAAUAAAACAGCCCUCUUCUUCUGAGACUUGAUUUUGAAUAUUCUGAUCUAGAUAGGCAGAUUCUAAAGCUACUCAACACCCCGAACCCUGUGACCACAUCUCCCAGAGCAGGGUACUGGGACUGGUUUCCGUUCCCUUGGCAUGUCCCUGAGGCAAUGCUUGAAGACACCUGUAAUUGCCACAAGACACAUUUUCCUAACCCCCAGGCUGCCAGUCAAUUGCUAGUUACCAGCUUCUGAAAACCAUACAGGGAAGGGAUUAAGAAGUGGGCUCUGGAAUUAAGCCACCUCGUUCAGUUCCUGGCCCUGCCACUCACUAAGGGAUAUUGAGCAAGUUACUUAGCUUCUGUGCCUGGAGUCUUACCCAAAACAUGCCGGUGAUAAUGACAGUGCCCGCUGUGAGGGUGAGGACCAAAGGCUCUAACACGGGGAUCCCGCUGGGCACAGUCAGGGUGAGCUGCCCUGCUAGCCUGCUGCCUAGUGUCCUGGGAGUCCAGUAAAAGCAAACCAGCACCUGCCUUGCUGCCUCUGGAGUCCCCUCUUUUCCAGAUAGAGUCCCCUUGGUAGGUGCCCUGACUCAAGGUGCCCAGGCCUCCUCCUCCUCCUCCAUAGCAGGAAGGAAGCUGGGCACCAGACCAAGAACUGGGAUGGGCCAGGCAGCAAGACUGUGGGCAGCCCAGGAAAGAGAACAAACCCACUGCCUGCCACAACAGCUGUGGGAAGGGGCUGCUGCAGAGGAUGUAGGUGGCAGGGAGGGGACCAUGCCAGGACACUCACAGAGUAAGAAGCAGCGAGCUGAUGAGUCUUAGUCCCAGGAACAAAUGAACAUUACCAGCAAUAAAAUAAUGGCUGGUUUCUGAUUCUGCUAAGUAGUAGCAUAUUAAAGAAAACUGCCAUCCUGACACCCUUCUAGAUGAGAGGAUGCUACAUUCUGACUUGGGUUUCAGCCCAGCCAGUCCUGUGAGGUGGAAGUCUCAGAACCAUCCCCAGCUCAAGAGCAAAGUCUAUACUGUAAGUUGAAUGCUAAUACAUCUUUCUUGGUGUUUUUAGAUCCCAGAGCCCCAGGAAUAAAAUGCAGAGGAUCCACAGUUGCCUCCCAGUUUUAUUAGGAUGGUGCAAAAGUAAUUGCAGUUUUUCCAUUAAAAUUAACAGCGAAAAAUGCAAUACUUUUACGCCAACCUAAAUAAUACAGCCAUCCAGGGGCCUCACUCAGAGCAGAAAGUCAUCACGUGGACUCAACGAAUGCCCUUAGCUGUCUUCCUGGUGGACCAGUGACCACACCUCCCACUCCAGGGGCACUGGCAAAGCAGGGCACACACCCAGGUCAAUGCCAGGAGCCGGAUCUCCCAGUAAGACUAGGGGCACUGGUAGGAGCAUCAAGCAGGGGAUCCAGACCCUGCCUGCUGUCUGCAAAGAAGGUGGUACCCCACGGCCAGCUGGUCCAGCUCAGGCACAAAGUAUUCUUGGCCCUCAGGCCAGGGUCCUGACUGCCUCCGGUGGACAGAAGAGCAAGAGCGUCUGGAAAGCAACAGUGAGCUUGUCUCCAGCAUCCACAACAGCUCCAGUGCCGGGCUUACAUAUGGCAGCAUGCAGCCUUCCCACAGCUGCCCUGUGACCUGGGUACUGAACCUCUCCCACCACCUCCCUCAGCCCCCACCCCCAGGUUAUGAAUGGGCUCUCCCGAUUAAAAGCAUGUUCUCACUGCUUGGAACAUGGUAGGUGCCUUAUAAAUGAUGGGUGGGUAGAUGGAUAGAUGGAUGAAUGGUUUUCCUAACAAAAUGGAGGACUUUGAUGAAUUGUCAUUAAUUCUCAUUGAUCUUCAGUAUUUUAUACUUCUGUAGCAAUUGGGAAUAGAAACUCUUUUAAAAAUGACAUGUCUUUAGGAUAUUUUUUCAUAACUACCUAGCACCCAGCAAUUCAUCACACUUAUUUUUCAUCUAAUAGGUCUUUUAUUGUUUUUGCUUUUUAAAUCUCUUUAGAUUUUCUAAGGAAGGUGAUGGGUUUGAUUAUUGAUUGAACUGAAUUUGAAUUGGAGGCAGAAAGCCUCAGUGGAGGAGUCUAACAGGCACCUCAGCACACACUACCGAUUAGUUAAAGGUGAUGAUAAAAUCAGGCAGCAUGCACAGAACAGAAAGGAGCCUGAAGGAAGGAACCUUGAGACACUUACAUGGGAAGGAUAAGAGGUGUGUAAGAACAAGUCAAGACAGAGAAGGGGUAGUUAGAGAGUCAGAAAAUAGAGACAUCUCCUGGAAGCCACAGAGUGAAGAGAGCAAGGUCAGGAAAGACUUUAAUUUGCAACUAGAAAAACACUGGUCAUUACAUUCUGCCAUUAAAAUUUGGCAAUUAAACAUUUUCUGUGAUUUGUGCAUGUGUAAUAAAUGGUAGACGGCAGCCUUGAAGGAAGGCGGGACCAAGGAAAAGGCUUUGCAUGGGGGAGAUUUAUUCAUGGUUUGUCGGUUUUUAAGGAUGGAAGAGAUGUGAGC